UACGUAGGGUGCGAGCGUUGCCCGGAUUUAUUGGGCGUAAAGGGCGCGUAGGCGGCUCUGCACGUCCGUUGUGAAAUCGCCCGGCUCAACUGGGCGGGGUCAGCGGAUACGGCGGAGCUUGAGCAAGCUAGGGGGCAAUGGAAUUCCCGGUGUAGUGGUGGAAUGCGUAGAUAUCAGGAGGAACACCGGUGGUGUAGACGGCUUUCUGGACCGUAACUGACGCUGAGACACGAAAGCGUGGGUAGCAAACAGG
rnacentral:rRNA from 1 species